GCCAGGGUGGCUCAGUGGGUUAAGUGUCUGACUUCAGCUCAGGUCAUGAUCUCAUGAUUGGUGGGUUUGAGCCCCACAUCGGGCU
rnacentral:tRNA from 1 species